GUCAGGCUCUGUGUUGGUUGGAGCGAGCAUGUGGGUCUGCAGUACCCUGUGGCGGGUGCGAACCCCCGCCCGGCAGUGGCGGGGGCUGCUCCCAGCUUCUGGCUGUCACGGACCUGCCGCCUCCUCCUACUCCGCAUCCGCCGAGCCUGCCCGGGUCCGGGCGCUUGUCUAUGGGCACCACGGGGAUCCAGCCAAGGUCGUCGAAGGUAUAACCAGGGAAUUGUUCCAGAGGUUUCCUUGGAUAUUCCUACAACUGAUAACAGCUGUCAUUUCUUCAGCAUCUACUGUACUCAAGAACCUGGAGCUAGCUGCUGUGAGAGGAUCAGAUGUCCGUGUGAAGAUGCUGGCGGCCCCUAUCAAUCCAUCUGACAUAAAUAUGAUCCAAGGAAACUACGGAUUCCUUCCUGAACUGCCUGCUGUUGGAGGGAACGAAGGUGUUGCACAGGUGGUAGCGGUGGGCAGCAAUGUGACCGGGCUGAAGCCAGGAGACUGGGUGAUUCCAGCAAAUGCUGGUUUAGGAACCUGGCGGACCGAGGCUGUGUUCAGCGAGGAAGCACUGAUCCAAGUUCCGAGUGACAUCCCUCUUCAGAGCGCUGCCACCCUGGGUGUCAAUCCCUGCACAGCCUACAGGAUGUUGAUGGACUUCGAGCAACUGCAGCCAGGGGAUUCUGUCAUCCAGAAUGCAUCCAACAGCGGAGUGGGGCAAGCAGUCAUCCAGAUCGCCGCAGCCCUGGGCCUAAGAACCAUCAAUGUGGUCCGAGACAGACCUGAUAUCCAGAAGCUGAGUGACAGACUGAAGAGUCUGGGGGCUGAGCAUGUCAUCACAGAAGAGGAGCUAAGAAGGCCCGAAAUGAAAAACUUCUUUAAGGACAUGCCCCAGCCACGGCUUGCUCUCAACUGUGUUGGUGGGAAAAGCUCCACAGAGCUGCUGCGGCAGUUAGCGCGUGGAGGAACCAUGGUAACCUAUGGGGGGAUGGCCAAGCAGCCCGUCGUAGCCUCUGUGAGCCUGCUCAUUUUUAAGGAUCUCAAACUUCGAGGCUUUUGGUUGUCCCAGUGGAAGAAGGAUCACAGUCCAGACCAGUUCAAGGAGCUGAUCCUCACACUGUGCGAUCUCAUCCGCCGAGGCCAGCUCACAGCCCCUGCCUGCUCCCAGGUCCCGCUGCAGGACUACCAGUCUGCCUUGGAAGCCUCCAUGAAGCCCUUCAUAUCUUCAAAGCAGAUUCUCACCAUGUGAUCAUCCCAAAAGAGCUGGAGUGACAUGGGAGGGGAGGCGGAUCUGAGGGGCUGGGUGCAGGCCCCUCAGUUGGGGCUCCCACCUUCCCCAGACUACUGUUCUCCUCACUGCCUCUUCCUAUUAGGAGGAUGGUGAAGCCAGCCACGGUUUUCCCCAGGGCCAGCCUUAAGGUAGCCUGCGGCCCAGUCCAGGGCUUGGGGAGGAUCAGCUGCAUGGAAGAGUGAAUGCCAGGCUGAGGUCAUCAGGGCCCUGAGGAACUUGGACGUGGGGUCUUCACUCUCAUGGAACUGCCCUUCUAACUGGAGACAUAGACAAUAUACCAGUGGUUCUCAACCAGAGGCAAUUUUACCCCCAGGAGACAUUUGACAAUGUCUGGGGAUAUUUCUGGCUAUCACAGCUUAUGAAGGAGGUUGCUACUGGCAUCUAGCAGGCAGAGUGAGUGCUGCUGUUAAACCCACCACAGGACACAGAACAGUCUACUGCAACAAAGAAUUACCCAAGGCCUGGCGCGGUGGCUCACACCUGUAAUCCCAGCACUUUGGGAAGCCAAGGCAAGCGGAUCACUUGAGCCCAGGAGUUCAAGGUCAACCUAGGUGGCCUUGGAGGUCCCACUCUUCUCACGAGUCCUUGAUUUUGUUCUUGACAUGUCAACUGGAAGAGCAUUCAAAUUUCCCUGAGUCUGUGUCUCAUGGGGAGGCAUGAGAAAAAGGCAGAAUCAGGAGGCCAUUGAAGUAGUCCAGUCUGUUAUGUUCUGAACCCACACAUGUUUUCGGAAGGACCAGAUGGCUGACACUGGCUAAUGGGAACCAAAAGACGAGUGAAAGUAACCUGGUUGUCACAUACCCCCAGCUUAGAGGUGCUUCACCCUGCCCCAAGGUCAAUUUCUUUUUUCUCUAGAGACUUUACCCCAUUAUAUCAAAAACCUUUACUACAGCCUGACUUUAUCUGAUGUUAGAGUAUCAUUAAGUCAAGCAGCAGCAUUUAUUGAGUGAAAAAAGAUUGUACACAGGACUGGAAGAGAAGCAUCUGCCUUUAAAAUACAGUAGAAGGCCGGGCAUGGUGGCUCAUGCCUGUAAUUCUAGCACUUUGGGAGGCCAAGGCAGGUGGAUUGCCUGAGCUCAGGAGUUCGAGACCACCCUGGGCAACAUGGUGAAACCCUGUCUCUCCUAAAAAAAAAAAAAAAAAAAUUACAAAAAAUUUGCCGGGCAUGGUGGUGCACACCUGUAGUCCCAGCCACUCUAAAGGCUGAGGUACAAGAAUUGCUUGAGCCCAGGGUCAGAGGUUGCAGUGAGUGGAGAUCGCGCCGCUGCGCUGCAGCCUGCGCGACAGAGCGAGACUAUGUUUUUUUUAAAAAAAAAAAAAAAAAGGAAUUAGAACCUUGUGGUUUAGAGCUGGGAUUUUUAGAGUCAUGGGUCUGGGUUCAAAUCUAGCUCCUUCACUCAUGAGCUCCUUGAAAAUGAGCAAGUUGCUUACUCCAAGCCUCAGUUUCUCAUUGUAAAAUGAGAAGAAUAAUAAUACAUUCUUCACAUUUGAUAUACAAAUGGAUGAAAUAUUAUGGAUAAAUUAUUUACUGUGCCAGGCACUGUGCUAAAUAGCCAACAGAUAUUAGCCUUCGUUUUUCUUAGUGAAGAGCUCAUAAUCAAAAGAGAAGGUAAGCACAAAGACAAAAACAAGACUUAAAAA